UGCAAUAACCUGCUCUGUGUACAGAGAAGGUUCACUGAGGGCAUCGAAAACUUUGAGCCCUGAUAAAUCUCUGCAGCUUUCCUGGAUUUUAGCCCUUCGUCUUGGCCUCGUAAUAUGUGUAGGUGUAGCUGCAGUUGGAUUUUGCAUCUACAUGAAGUGGAAACACUGCAAUAAGGCAGAGCCAUGAGGAAACACACUGAGGAAGAAGAAUCACAAGAAACAGAAGACAACUUUACAACUUUACUGCUGAUCUUCUACAAUUUAAAACAUUUUUUGAAAAAUUAAAAAAAAAUUAUAUGUUUUGUAGAGGUGGGAAAAAAAAAGCUUAUUCACACCAGGCUGACAUUAACUGUCUCUACAUCUUAAGUCCUAAAAUUCUGAUUCUGGACCAUCACAUGGCUCAGUGGUUGAGCCACUUUGUCAAUGUUUGAUUUUGCAGUGUUUUAUUUUUCUAUGCCACAUCUUUGUAUCUGUCAUGUAAGAUGUCACCUUUUAGCUGCUUAUCCACAUGUUUCCAGCAUCAAUGUAACCUUCGGCAGUAGUGCAGUUCCUGGCUUUGCUGCUGAAUAUUCAGCAACUGAUACGUUUGUUUAUUAUAGGAAAUAAGACGUCUAUCAAAAUAUAAUAAAAAAGCCAAAUGAAUAUGAAUUGAGCAAAAAUCUAGUUUACUUCUUUUUGAAUAAUUUGUAUUAACAUUUUGUUUAAACCUGUUAGUACCCUUAACAAUCACAGGGGAAAUAAAAGUAUUACUGCAAUCAU